GACGAUUCUUCAUCCUGUAUGAACAUGGCAGCAUGAGCUUUGCACUGGACGAGUUGACAAGCACUCUGCCACAAGGAACAGUGAACAUGAAUCUGUGUACAGCGGUGAUUGACGCAGAGCCUAAGACAGGCCAGAGGAACGCUUUGUGCAUCAUCACACCUGAACAGGAGUUCUUUAUCCGGGGGGAGAACAAGGAGAUCAUCAAUGGCUGGAGUGAACAACUAGUCGUUUACCCACGGACCUAUAAGCAGAAUCAGAAGAAGAAACGUAAAGUAGAACCCACUACUUCCCAGG